CAUAUUUCUAAAUACUAUACAGACACUCCUUAACUUUAACAUUUGAGACAUUCUUUCUGACUUCCUGUUAUAACAGAUGAGGACCAGCUGUUUUUCCUCUUCCUUGUUUUCAAGGGUGAGGAUGCUGAAUUCGGAUAGCAGCGAGCUCACAAGGGCAGCAGGCUUUGCAACACCUCGCUGGAUGUCACCAGAUGUCACCAGAUGUCACCAGACAGAUGCACAAGGCUGGGCAUGGCACAGGGCAGUGCCUGUCAUCAAGGCAGAGCAGAGUGGAGAAGCUCCUCUCCCACACUGCCCGGCAUGCUGCUGGUCUCACUAUGUUGUCCAGGCUGGUCUUCAGGUUCUGGACUCAAGCCAUCCUCCUGCCUCAGGCCUUCAAGUGGCUGGGACUAUAGAUAUGGCACCGCUGCUUCUGACUCCCAAGGAAUUUCUUCAUCAGCAAUAAAGAAAAGAAGAUUCGAGAUGUAAGAAAAUAAUUAUUAUAAAUAUGGAUGAACAAACAUGUCUGAGAGUGCAUAUGAGACGCCCUGGAGUUACACAGGCUCAGAAUCUGGCCUUGGCCAUACAGAACCUCAAAUUCUAAUGCUAGGUCAAAAAAAAAAAAAAAAA